GUGGGUGUAGCUCAGAGGUAGAGUACAUGCUUAGCAUGCACGAGGCUCUGGGUUCAAUCCCCAGCAUCCAAA
rnacentral:tRNA from 1 species